rnacentral:rRNA from 1 species
UUUAAAGAGAGUUUGAUCCUGGCUCAGGACGAACGCUGGCGGCGUGCCUAAUACAUGCAAGUCGAACGAACGGAGGAAGAGCUUGCUCUUCCAAAGUUAGUGGCGGACGGGUGAGUAACACGUGGGCAACCUGCCUGUAAGUUGGGGAUAACUCCGGGAAACCGGGGCUAAUACCGAAUGAUAAAGUGUGGCGCAUGCCACGCUUUUGAAAGAUGGUUUCGGCUAUCGCUU